rnacentral:misc_RNA from 1 species
AUGAAGAACGUAGUGAAAUGCGAUAAGUAAUGUGAAUUGCAGAAUUCAGUGAAUCAUCGAAUCUUUGAACGCACAUUGCGCCCGCCAGUAUUCUGGCGGGCAUGCCUGUUCGAGCGUCAUUACAACCCUCAGGCCCCCGGGCCUGGCGUUGGGGAUCGGCGGAGCCCCCCGUGGGCACACGCCGUCCCCCAAAUACAGUGGCGGUCCCGCCGCAGCUUCCAUCGCGUAGUAGCUAACACCUCGCGACUGGAGAGCGGCGCGGCCACGCCGUAAAACACCCAACUCUUCUGAAGUUGACCUCGAAUCAGGUAGGAAUACCCGCUGAACUUAAGCAUAUCAAUAAGCGGAGGA